UAAUUCCCAACUUUGUAAUCC
rnacentral:piRNA from 1 species